GACGAACGCUGGCGGCGUGCCUGACACAUGCAAGUCGGACGGUCCGUGAUUGAUCAAGCUUGCUUGAUUGGUCGUGGAUAGUGGCGGACGGGUGAGUAACGCGUGAACACCUACCCAUUGGAGGGGUACAACCCGUCGAAAGGCGGGCUAAUACCGCGUAAGCCGCGAGGUGAAAGGCUGCCUUUUGGUGGCUGCCGAUGGAUGGGUUCGCGUCCUAUCAGCUUGUUGGUGGGGUAAUGGCCUACCAAGGCGAAGACGGGUAGCCGGUCUGAGAGGAUGGCCGGCCACACUGGAACUGAGACACGGUCCAGACUCCUACGGGAGGCAGCAGUGGGGAAUCUUGGGCAAUGGGGGGGACCCUGACCCAGCGACGCCGCGUGAGGGACGAAGGUUUUCGGAUCGUAAACCUCUGUUGUACGGGAAGAAGGAUGUGACGGUACCGUACGAGUAAGCCCCGGCAAACUACGUG
rnacentral:rRNA from 1 species